GCGUGAGUGAAGAAGGCCUUCGGGUUGUAAAGCUCUUUUGCCAGGGACGAUAAUGACGGUACCUGGAGAAUAAGCCCCGGCUAACUUCGUGCCAGCAGCCGCGGUAAUACGAAGGGGGCUAGCGUUGUUCGGAAUCACUGGGCGUAAAGCGCACGUAGGCGGCUUCUCAAGUUAGGGGUGAAAGCCUGGGGCUUAACCUCAGAACUGCCCUUAAGACUGGGAGGCUUGAAUCCGGGAGAGGUUGGUGGAAUUCCGAGUGUAGAGGUGAAAUUCGU
rnacentral:rRNA from 1 species